rnacentral:lncRNA from 1 species
GAAUGUUGCGGUGGGAGGAACUAUGCGUUAAUUACUGGAUACCUUUAGUCUAGAUUGAGUCUGCGUUUGAAGUUUCUGGUGGAGCAGGUGAGGGACAUUGGCUCGCCUGUUGGCCAGGACUGAUUAACCUCUGGGAGGAGUCGCCCCUCAAAAUGGGAACAGUUAUUUUAAAUAGAACCUGGCAGGUCACUGAUCAGCGCUCCCACGUGCAGAAAGUCAGUGCUGUUCUGACCCAGGGCCUCGAGUCAACGCUGAGAAGAGAGUGCCGAUUGACCAAUCCCCGGAAUUAGAGCAGCCUAGAAAUUAAGCUCAACUGUGAAUGAUUAGGAUGGGGAAUAGGGAUUGGGGCAGGCUGUUUACUUGCCUUUAUAAUCAAUGGUCACCAUCGCCAAAGUUUAGGUAUGGGAGUAGGCCUAAUACCUUUUUCUUCCUGUUGCUCUGUUUCAGUCCCUAGAGCCAGAAAGUUACAAAACUCAUUAAAGAAAUCAGAGUUUGGAGUCCGAGAAACUGAAUACUUACUGAAAGUAUCUGAAAUAUCCAGGGGGAGAAACGUACGGUUUUAUUCUGCCGGUGAAAACAAAGGACAGGUGGUUUUGCUUUCCGGUAUAUCAUACCUCAGGCAAAGGGUAGCAAGACGCUAAUUUUUAAAAGGAAUUGAAAGAUAAAACACUGACCUGCUUAAAGUUUUCUAAUGCUCCUUAAUGGUCUCACAGUGUGAAGGUCUUUAAGAAUUAAAUGGAUAUAAAAAUUUGUUUUCAAAAAAUUCCUGUUUUAAAAAAGGAAAGCAGUAAGCUAGAGUAUUACCUAAUAAACACUUCUUAGGUAUGUGAUAAAUGUAUAUUAUUCAAGUGAUCAUAAUAGCAUAACUAGAACAAUUAGUGAAACUGCUUUUCAAACUAGUAUCUUCAGUCACUAGAGACUUGUUCAAAAAUGCUGAUUUUGAUUUAGUAGGCCAGGGUGGAGCCUGAGAUUCUAUAAUUCUAACACUGUCCUAGGUGAUAUAGAUUACUCAGAGGACCACCCUGUGAGUUCCAGAGCACAGAAGUGCUUACCUCAUGGCCUGCUGACACCUCUGCCCCCUCCCUCUUCCCUGAAUAAAGCUUUCUUUUGUUCUCUCUUGUAACCAGUCUAAUGUGGUAGAUACAAAGGAUUUGGCAAUUGGAGUGAGAGAAGAAAUCCAGGUUUGAGUUCUUGUUCCUUUGCUUCCUAUUUGUGUGAUAUUGGUAAGGUUACUUGUCUUAGUUCCUUCAACACUAAAGUAGGUGUAAUAAUAGCUGUCCUUUCUCACAGGGUUAUUAUGUGCUUCAGAUGUCAUAAUGCAUGUGAAAGGGCACUGUAGACUACAGUGCUGUAUAAAUGUUAUUAAUUGCUCAAACAUUAACUGGCCAUAGAGUGAAACAAAUCUAUAACAUUAUGGAACAUUUAUAAUGUACCAGGUACAGUGCUUAUUAACCUCCUUGUACAAAUAGAGAGACUGAUGCACAGAGAGAUUAAGUUACUGUCCCAAGGUCACACAGCUGAUAAAUAGAUGUAGAAUUUGAACCCAUGCAGUUAAUGCCAGAGUAAAUUAUUGAAUAGAGUAUUUAUUAUCUCUUAAUUUAGAAAGUGGAAGAGUAGAAUGUUUUAUAUUUCUACUUUCAGUGUAUCUCAAGCUACUUUUAUUUAACUUAUUUCUCCCUCUUGUUUUGCUCUUUGAAGCCAAGGUACAAGGCAGGAAAUAUUCCUACCUACUCAGUGGGAACGCAUGAUAUCCAAGGGGUCCAUGAAGAAAAGUCCCAGAGAAGCUAAUUUGUACUACCCUAAUCUAAACAAACUUUGGUAUGAAAAUAUAAUGGACCAUGUUAGUGUUCUAAAUUAACAGAGCACAGCAGACUGGGACGAAUUUGAAGUCAGCUUUCUUAACUUUUUUGAGCCACAAACUACUUUAGCGGUCUGGUGAAACCAUGGACUCUUCUUACAUUUAUGCCUUUAAAUGUAUAAAACAGAAUUCAUAGCAUUACAAAAUAAAACAACUUGAAACAGAAUCUCAGAAUAUUAAAGUAAAACAAACUUUUAUUUAUUUAUGUGUGCCGGGUCUUAUUUGUGGCAUGCAGAAUUUUUACUUGCAUUACACAAACUCCUAAUUACAGUAUGUGGGAUCCAGCUACCUGAUCAGGGAUCAAACUGGGGCACCUGUACUGGGAGCAGAGCCUUAGCCACUGGACCUUCAGGGAAGUCCCAAGAAAAAUAAACUUUUGAUAUGGGAAUAUAUGUCCUUUAUUAUUAAUACAGUAAGAUCUACUGGCGGCUCUAAUAUCAAAUUUUUGAAAUAAUAAUAAACAUAAAAUUUCCAGAGUUUGCAACAGUUGUAAUGUGAUACAAAGGAUCUGUGAUUCCUGUUGGAGAUACAUAUGUAGGUACAGCUGUUUGCUGCUUUCAUUCAUAAUUGAAGGAAAUACUAAUUUUCACUUGGGAGAUUUAGUGAAUAUAAAGAUGUAAUUUUUUAAAUUCAAUUUCACACACUCCCUGAAUUGUAUUCAUUGACUUAAUGUUAAAAAAUCCUUGGGUGGAAUCAAACAGGCAUAUUCCUGUUGGUAAUCUUUUAAGAGAUUAUGAAAUUUUAACAUAGAAAUAUAAUUGAUAUCCAUAAUAAUAGUGAUUUAUUAAUAAAAAGUUUACCACUGGUAUACUCCUGUUUAGAAGACAUGGAAGCAUGUUAUAGGAUAGGAAAUAAAUUUAUCCCAUUUGUUUUAUUUUUUGAUACCUAUAAAUGUAUUCUUUGGGUUUCUCAAGCAUUCCAGAUAAUUUAGGUUUUACUGUAUCACUCUUAAUUAUUACACGCCUUUACACAUAAGUCAUGGUGGAAGAACUGCAAAAUGAAAAUAAUAAGCAAAGAUGAAAUAUAUUAAAAGUAAUAUAUAUUUAAAAUUCUUAAUAAUAGGUGUUAACAAUUAUUUGAAGUACUAUGUGCUGGGCGCUUGAAUUCUUUAUCUCAUCAAACCCCCAUUGCACAGAGGAAACAUUCAAGGUCUUACAGUUACUAAUAAAGCCAGGAUUUAAACCUAGGCAGUCUGAUCUCCAAGCUCUUUUUUUUUUUUUUAACUUGAAAUAUAGUUGAAAAGCUCGCUCUCUCAACUACUAAGGUGUUUAUUUUUUUACCCUUUGACUAUUAGCCAACUUUAAUUUGCCCACUAGUGUAACAAAUACAUAUUCACUGCCUCAAAAUGCUUUCACUGGUAUAUAGCUGAUUUACAAUGUUGUGUUAUAAAAGGAAUUUUCUAAAUUCUCCCUUUGCUGUUAUAUUGCUUAUAUCCAACAUCACCUUUAAAAUAAGUGGGCUAUCGGUUGAGGCUAGAAGAGGGUUUGUUUUACAGAAAUUUUUGUAAUGGAAUUUUGCUUAGAAGAUGAAGAAAUCCACUCAUGUCUUUCCAUGCCCUAGAAACAUGCUUUCAUAUCUGAAAUUAAACCUCUGUAUUAUAAUAGUGCUACUGUAUUUUUUAUAUUGAUUACUAUCAGGGUUGUAUCCAAGAAAUUACUGCAUGUAAAUAAAUCCUAAUAUAUGAAGUUCUAGAUUAUCCAUGCUUAAUGGAGAGAACUGAUUAUGUCAUCCCAAAUUCAUUUUUAUUUGUCAUUAGAGUAGAUUUAUUGGCUGAUUAUGCUUUCUGUUUGUAUUUACACUAACAAACGUAUUUCUACUCAGUUUUGCUAAGGUUAAAAUGAAAAGGACCAUGGCCUACAAGUAUUUUGAUGUUUUAGGAAGCAGUUUAGGAGUAGCUCAGAUUUUAAAACACCAUUCACAUAUCUGGUAAUAUACAGAACCCACUUGACAGUUGCAUUUAACCUAUUUGAGUUACAAUGAUAGAAAUGUCCCCAUCUGACAAACAGAAAAUAAUCAUUUUUUAUAUUGUAGUGUGCAAUGUGCUAAAAAAGAUUACAGUUUUAUAUAUUGAAAUAAAAGGUUACAUUCAGAAAUUAAAAACAUACAAAAAUGCUGAAGAACUGACACAGUCUUCCUUCUUAAUGAAUCAGAUCAGAUCAGAUCAGUCGCUCAUUCGUGUCCGACUCUUUGCGACCCCAUGAAUCUUUGCAUUGAUCGCUGAAGAAGGCUUUCUUAUCUCUUCUUGCUAUUCUUUAGCAGCACUGUUUACAAUAGCCAAGACAUGGAAGCAACCUAAAUGUCCAUCAACAGAUGAAUGGAUAAAGAUGUAGUAUAUGUACAUGAUGGAAUACUACUCAGUUGUAAAAAAUGAACGCAAUAAUGCCAUUUAUAUUAUCAUACUAAGUACGUUAAAGACAAAUACCUAAUAAACCAUGAUGAAGAAGACGAUCUAAGUAUAUGUAUAACUGAAUCACUUUACUGUGUACCAUAAACUAACACUGUAAAUCAAGUAUACUUCAAUUAAAAAAAAAAUUCUGUGAGUUACAAAGAUCUGAAAAUAUAGACGUAAUAUUAAUAGUAUUAAUAACUAGUCUGUGUUAACU